AUUCAGCUGACGAGUCUUAAACCGGACGAAACGCGCAUCCUGGAU
rfam:Schistosoma mansoni strain Puerto Rico chromosome 1, complete genome